rnacentral:rRNA from 1 species
GAUGAACGCUGGCGGCGUGCCUAAUACAUGCAAGUCGAGCGAAUGGAUUAAGAGCUUGCUCUUAUGAAGUUAGCGGCGGACGGGUGAGUAACACGUGGGUAACCUGCCCAUAAGACUGGGAUAACUCCGGGAAACCGGGGCUAAUACCGGAUAACAUUUUGAACCGCAUGGUUCGAAAUUGAAAGGCGGCUUCGGCUGUCACUUAUGGAUGGACCCGCGUCGCAUUAGCUAGUUGGUGAGGUAACGGCUCACCAAGGCAACGAUGCGUAGCCGGCCUGGGAGGGUGAUCGGCCACGCUGGGACUGAGACACGGCCCAGACUCCUACGGGAGGCAGCAGUAGGGAAUCUUCCGCAAUGGACGAAAGUCUGACGGAGCAACGCCGCGUGAGUGAUGAAGGCUUUCGGGUCGUAAAACUCUGUUGUUAGGGAAGAACAAGUGCUAGUUGAAUAAGCUGGCACCUUGACGGUACCUAACCAGAAAGCCACGGCUAACUACGUGCCAGCCGCCGCGGUAA